AGCUGUAUCACGUAUUUCGCAGACAAUUAGCAGAAGACAAAUAUUGUGCAAAUAUUGCUGUCAACUGUCCAUUUCGUAUUACGGACUUACAACAAAAAAGCAGAUCGCAGACCAUCACUAGUGCUGCCUCUGCAGAGCGAUUUGUGAAACUUUAGUGCAUUCUUUUCCAUACAACUAACAACAACUGGCCUAAAGUCGGUAUUACGGAUGCUUUUGUGUGCCACACAACAGCAGAUAUUUAGCAAUUUCGUUUGUCAAAUUUGCGACACCUUUUGUAUCUGGUGCUGAAUUGUUGCUAACUAUCUGCAAGUGUAAAAUUUGUGAAAUUAAAUUAUUUUAACUUGAUUUAGGUAUGUACUAUGGACAGAGCUCAAAUAAUAAAUGGGGCUUUGGAGUCUAAGGAAAUUAGGUCGGAUACAUACGAAUUAGUGCGUUUGCGACGCUGUCUUCGUGAUCAAGCCUGACCCCUUAUCGGAAAGUUUGUUCAGAACACAUUACAGAAUUUCGAAACAUCAAUAUUUACAAUUGUGCUCUGAAUUAAAGCCGUUAAUAACCUAGAUCAUCAAGACGAACAAGAAUAGAAAGUAAAAUGCAAGGUGUUAACAGCAUUGCAAAAUUUCAUACCAGAAACCUGUGGGAAUGAGCUUUUUGCAUUUUGAGUUAAACUGUAGUAAAUCCAAUGCCAUUAGGGAAGUGGCUAUGGCAUUAAACAAUCUUCCAGUUUUAUUGAAACAUUUAAAGUUUCUGCAAACAGUACAAUGGGUCACAAGUUAUUAUAAAUGGGUAAGUUAAAUAAUUAUCUUAUAGUAUAGAGCACAAGAGUUCCACUGAUUUUACAAUUUCCACGAGUCAAUCAUAUAGAUCAGUUAUAUUCUUGAAGCUUUAUAACUAUAGCUAUAUUUAGCUAUAUAUAGCUAUAUUUUAAACAGAGUUCUGAGAAAUGUCAAGUCCUGGUGAAACUGGAAAGGCCUUCAGGCCACCAUUAAUCUUUCCUACAUAAUUUUUUUUUAAUUUAAAAUUUGUCUUAUUUUUAUAGUACAGAGAUAUUUGAACAAUAAUAAUUUUGUGAUCGAAAACAUAAUAUAAUAGUAAAUAAAUUUCUUUUCAUUAUAGGUUUUACAAUAAAUUUGGCUAUCCUGGGGUUUUGGGGUGUAUAGAUGGCACUCAUUUGCACUUAUCAGAUCUUCCGUAUAUGAAGAAAGGUUUUAGAACGAAAGCAUUAUCAUUUCAAGAAUGUGCAAAUACUAAGUAUUUUGCUGAAGCCUAUCAUUCACAAUAACAAACAUUUGAUAGUACUUAUCUAAAGAAUCAAAUUUUUCAGAUCUGUGAUAGUGAUCUUAACAUUUUAAGUAUUGAUGCAACAUUUCAUGAUACAUUUUUCUGGCUUAUCACAACUGAAUAUGCCUAUGCAGGACCUGCACCAUAAUAGUGAAAAAGUUUUGUUUUUAGGCUAGUAAAACAUCAUGAGCUCUGUCUCAGUAACCUGACUACAAAAUAAUACUCAAUCUAAAAGUAUAUUUAAAACUGGGAAGGCCGUUAAUAUAUAGUACUAUAGUAAUGUUUAUUGUCAUACAAGGAACACUGUUGACCAUUGUGAGUAUUGAAGGAUUGGAGAUGCUUGUUGGUACAUAGAGUACUGCAUUAUGAUCAUCAUAUGAUGGCCAAGACCAUAAUUGUUAGCUUGUAUUGCAUAACAUGGCAAACACACAUGGGUUUCCAGUGCCCCGACUCUGACGAACAUGCUGAAAUUGAUGUUUCUUAUCAAAUUCAUAACAUUGUAUUUUUUGGGAGAGAAGAGGAAACACAGCACUUAGCACCACGUCAACAUUCAAGGGUGGUUCAAUUGGAUUGUGGAGAACAGACAUUAAAUUUAGUCCAACCUCUGUAUUCUAGUAUUUUUAUGUAGAUAUUUUUAAAACUGCUGUUCUUAAUUAUGUGAACUGAGAGGGCAAGAAUAGCCUAAUUAUUUCUGCCUAUAAUUUUUUAAUUGUGUUUAGUGGAAAUAUACAUAUUUCCUUAACAUUUUUGUGUUUAUAGUAAAGGAUGGAUUCAUAACAAUUUGAAAGCAAAAUUGUGAGGUUGUUUUAUUAAGACAAUGUUUUAAUCUGUUGUGCUCAAUUUGUUCUGUAUCAUUUUAUCUUUAUGUUAACCCCGUUUGUAUGUUGUGUUGUUAUAUAUAUUAUUGUAUAUACUGCUGUUUUAAAUAAUAGAAUAGAAUGAAUAACAAAUCGACUAGUAAUUCAUAAUUCUCCUAGAUUUUGUUGGAUACUUACAUGAAUAUUACUUACAAAAUGAAAAACAUAAUUCAUAAUUUAGACAAAAUGUGGAUCAACCACCACUCAUUUUUGUUCAUUGUGAUAAUAAUAAUAAUAUAAAUAUAAAUAUUUAACUGGUCCCGUGAUAAGUUCGUAAAGAACUUGUGUUACAGGUACCAGAUAACGGAAAUAAAUGUAGGAUUUUUAUUAUACACAUAUAUUUAAUAUACAUCCAUAACCCUGGGAAAGACAUUUAUAUUUAUCAUACAAAUAUCUUCCCUUGGCGGGAUUCGAACCCGCGACCCCCUUGUGUAGCGACCAUGUCACUUACCACUACACCAGACGGCCGUUAGAUAAGUUUGAUAAUUAUUAUUUUUGUGUAAUUUUGUUUUAUUUGAAUAAAAAUUCUUAAAUUAGGAAA